UCAAUAUGGGGGAUCACUUAGUCCUUAAAGCGAUGAAAAACAUAAUAAUUUGUGGAAAUUGAUGUGAGUUGUGAAAUCUGUGAGCAUUGUGUUUUUGAAUGAACAUGUCAGUAUGGAUAUUAUUCUGUGCUACAGUUGUUUCAGCAUAUGAGAAGUUGAAUACGUUGUUACUAUUGCUG
rnacentral:rRNA from 1 species